rnacentral:rRNA from 1 species
UACGUAGGGGGCAAGCGUUGUUCGGAUUUACUGGGCGUAAAGGGCGCGUAGGCGGCCACCGCAAGUCGACUGUGAAAUCUCCGGGCUUAACCCGGAAAGGUCAGCCGAUACUGCGGGGCUAGAGUGCAGAAGGGGCAACUGGAAUUCUCGGUGUAGCGGUGAAAUGCGUAGAUAUCGAGAGGAACACCUGCGGCGAAGGCGGGUUGCUGGGCUGACACGUGACGCUGAGGCGCGAAAGCUAGGGGAGCGAACGGG